GGCUGGAGGCUGGCAGAGACAUUCUUUUGGGGGCGCCAGGCCACAGGACCGCGAGGCCGAGCGGGUGUAUGUGGCUGCGAGGCUUCCCUCUUCGGUAGCCUGGGAAGAGUCAGGCCUCGGAGGAGCCUUGACCAGAGAGCCAGGAAUCCCGUCAGCUGUGUCUGUGACUGAAAGAGCACUUCCGAGAGCGCGGCCUCUCCGAAGAGAAGUGUCCCAGGCCAGCUGGCGGCUGAAACAACAGACAUUUGUCUCACAGUUCUGUUGGCAAGAAGUGUGACGUCAAGGUGUGUGCAGGCUGGUUCCUACGAG